AGAAUGUGGACGUGGAACAAAAUCAGCAGAACCAGUCACUACUUCCCUUGCGCUGUGGAUUCAUGUGCGUUAUUGUUUAUCUUUGAAUGCAAAAGUGUUUAUUGCAAACGGGGAUUGCAAUUAUUUCCUGAUAUAACUGUACUGGCUUCUCAGUAAACCGACUCUGAACACCCAUGCCCGCCUCAGAUUGUUGCCUUCGUCUCUGCAGAUGAUGACCAGCUCUGUCUUUAAAGGAUAGGACAAGACAUCCCCCACAUGGUUCCAGCCUAGAGCUACAGGACCCUGAGACAUUAGUUUAACAGAACAAGUUUCUCUGCCCAGAUUGAGACUAGGGGUAAUGUUCCCCUGCUCAGACGUUGCAUUCAUCAGCCAAUGGUUGCCUGCCACGCCAUCAACUGUGUCAUCGACUGACAGAUUGCUAUAACAUGAUUUGGUUAGUUGAAACUUAAAAUACAUAUCCAGGCUAUGUGAGGUCAGGCGUCAGCAACUUCUGAGCAGAGGAACGCGCCUUACAUUAACUCAAAAGGGAGGGAGGAGAUUUACUACAUAGCGUUAGCCUGAAUCAACUCAAAAUGGCUGCUGUCGUUUCUUUACCUAUCGUGAGACUCCACAGACUAACGGAGGAUCAACUGUCUCUCGCUGCUCAGAAGAACAAUAACAAACCAGGCAGAAAACCAACGAAGAAYAACAACUUCACCACCAGYGGAAAGAAACAAUCCACAGGAAAAGGAAAUGACUCUGCUGACAGCAAAAGUGUUUCUAGCCAGGAAUCACCGGCCCCUAAGUGGUGGGGUCGCCCCAAGGGAACCAAAAACAAACCCAAAAUAAGUCUACAACUCUCCAGCGCCAUCUUGAGGCCUGAUGAGAUAAAACAAGAGAACAAUGACCCAACACACCUUCAGGCUGUGUAAGGGC